CUUGGCCUACAUGUGGUAUACACCUGUUCUGUUCAUUUUUAACAGAGAAUCUGUACACAAGGAAUUCAGGCUGCAGGUGACUGGCUUGAGUGUUGGGGAAGACAAAAAGAUUUUGGUGACCCGCAAAGUAACAUCCAGUCGUACAUUGCCCUCCCCUCGGCUGGGCACGUCUGUUUCUAUAGCUGUAUCUCUCAGUCCUCCUGUCACUGGGAAGCUGGAUUAUGAACGCAGUCACCUCCUGGCUCAAGACUGCUGCUGAAGUGCCAGCCCUCUUCUCAUGUCCAAGCCUAGAAGGAGGCAGAAACAUGGAAAGUCCAAUUCAGUACAUGAAAAUUUUCACAUGAAAAUCUGCUUUUACAACUUUGAGAGGAGUUGAAAGUGAGUCAUCAAGUGACUCGGCUACUGACGAUGACUUGGAUCAUGGAAGCCAAAGAAAUUGUGACAGUGAGACAGAGCAAAAUACGACAGGUGGAGACGCACAGAAUGAAAACUUGGAUGCGGAUGAUGAAGGAAACAGUAAUGUAAAUAAAUAUUUGACUAGUCAAAAUGCUACAAAAUGGUCACGUAUACACGAACAGUCUAAUGUUAGAAGUACAACAGAGAAUGUUAUUAGAUUCUUUCCAGGGGUGAAACCUCUUGGAAGGAAUACUGCUAUUGCAUGUUGUACAUUGUUUCUAACAGACGAUAUGCUACAAGGUGUUUUGAAAUACACUAAAAUGAAAUACAAAUAAAACAUUCUAUGUGCAUCAAUAGUAAUGCUCAAAAACAUAUUUAUCAGACACCUCACUAUAUGAACUAAAAGCCUUUGUAGCAGGACUUUAUCAUUCUAAUCAUCGGAAUCUAAAGGAUUUAUGGAAAAGUGAUAGAUGUGGUGUUGAGAUUUGUUAGAAUAAUAAUGACGCUCACGAGAUUUGGUUUCCUUCAAAAUUGCCUGUGUUUUGAUGACAAAAAGACUAAACCAAGAAAGAAAAUCCAACAAUUUGGCCACUAUUUGCUCAUUUUUUUGAACUGUCCUGCAAUUUACACGUCUGAAUACAUGAGAACUGACAAACAACUUGCAUCGUUUUGUGUUUGUUGAAGUUUUUGGCAGUAUGUGCCCAACAAAGCUUCCAAAUAUGGUAUUAAAAAUAUAUGUCUUGGCAGAUGUGAAGACAUUUUACACCUUGAAUUUGGAAUUUUAUCCUGGAACUCAGCUGCCAUGUCUUUAUUUGUGCAGUAAUAAACCAUAUGAUCUUGUGAACAGACUUAUUGUGCCUAUUUCAAAAAGUAACCCAAACGUUACCUUUGGGAGUUGGUUCAUUAGUUAAUUACCCAUUGAUGUUACUAAAAGAACACCAGUUACACAGCACAGGAACUGUUUGCAAGAACAAAGUCAAGAUUCCUGAAAAAACGUUGCAAGUUCACAACGGAGGAAUGUAUAGCACAAUCUCUGGAUUUCAGAGAGGCAUAACACUGGCUGCUAUACGGUGAAGAAAAAUACAGUAGUAUCGGUACUGUCAACAUUACACCAUGAUGAUAAGCUUGAUAGUGAAGCCAGGCAUGGUGGGAAUUCCAGCACUUGGGGAGGCUGAGGCUGUCUCCUGUGAGGCUGUCUCCUCUUCAAAGUCAGCCUGUGCUUCGUAAUGAAUUCCAGGCUAGCCUGGACAAUGUAGCAAGACCUUGUC